AGUGAACGCUGGCGGUAGGCCUAACACAUGCAAGUCGAACGGCAGCACAGUAAGAGCUUGCUCUUACGGGUGGCGAGUGGCGGACGGGUGAGGAAUACAUCGGAAUCUACUUUUUCGUGGGGGAUAACGUAGGGAAACUUACGCUAAUACCGCAUACGACCUACGGGUGAAAGCAGGGGAUCUUCGGACCUUGCGCGAUUGAAUGAGCCGAUGUCGGAUUAGCUAGUUGGCGGGGUAAAGGCCCACCAAGGCGACGAUCCGUAGCUGGUCUGAGAGGAUGAUCAGCCACACUGGAACUGAGACACGGUCCAGACUCCUACGGGAGGCAGCAGUGGGGAAUAUUGGACAAUGGGCGCAAGCCUGAUCCAGCCAUACCGCGUGGGUGAAGAAGGCCUUCGGGUUGUAAAGCCCCUUUGUUGGGAAGGAAAAGCAGCAGGUUAAUACCCCGCUGUUCUGACGGUACCCAAAGAAUAAGCACCGGCUAACUUCGUG
rnacentral:rRNA from 1 species